AGGUCUUGACAUCCUUUGAAGCUUUUAGAGAUAGAAGUGUUCUCUUCGGAGACAAAGUGACAGGUGGUGCAUGGUCGUCGUCAGCUCGUGUCGUGAGAUGUUGGGUUAAGUCCCGCAACGAGCGCAACCCUUAUUGUUAGUUGCCAGCAUUCAGAUGGGCACUCUAGCGAGACUGCCGGUGACAAACCGGAGGAAGGCGGGGACGACGUCAGAUCAUCAUGCCCCUUAUGACCUGGGCUACACACGUGCUACAAUGGCGUAUACAACGAGUUGCCAACCUGUGAAGGUGAGCUAAUCUCUUAAAGUACGUCUCAGUUCGGACUGCAGUCUGCAACUCGACUGCACGAAGUCGGAAUCGCUAGUAAUCGCGGAUCAGCACGCCGCGGUGAAUACGUUCCCGGGUCUU
rnacentral:rRNA from 1 species